AUGAGAACGGAGAAACCCACAUUCAAGGCUGACGGCGACAACAUCCACAAACGGCAACUGCUAUCACAACUUGAGAUUGACGAGAUACAACACAAAUGCUACGGCAAGGGGGAGCCAGGACGCCAGGUCAGAGGGGAGUUUUCACCAUCUCCCCAACCGGAAAUUGGGUACGAAGCCCCAAUAAGCACAGAUACGCUGAGCGAGGCAGCAACUGACCUGAAAGAUAAGAUCAUGGCGAGAUUGAACAGGCAACCCCGAACCCCACUACAACGGCUAAGCGAAGUACCAUCAGAAAGUCUCAUGGAAGAUGUGAAUGCAGCAUUGAGAGCGAUCCCUACCACAACAAUCACAGAAACCAAUGAGCUGAUAUACACUUCAGCAUCAGUGAUCCUAGAGGAGCUUGGCUAUAAGAGCAACCAUGGGAGCCAUGAGAAACAAUACCCACCAUGGAAACGAAGGUUGGAGGCAAAAAUCAAGGCAGCUCGGAGGGAAGUGAGCCAAAUGACAGAGGCCGAGAGAGGUGCAAUGAAAAGACCAAUGCCCAGGAGGUACAGCCAGAUGCCCAUACCUGAAGCACUCGAAACUGCCAAGCAAAGGCUACAAGCCUUGGCCAGCCGCCUAAAGAGAUGCACCAGAGAUAACGAAGCCAGACGAAUAAACCGGCUGUUCGCAACACAACCUGCGAAAGUGUACUCUCAAUGGCAGGGUAAUAACAACAGAGCAGACCCACCAAGGCUGGAAACUGAACAGUACUGGAAGGGUAUAUGGGAAAGGGAGGCAUCACACAACAGUGAUGCACAGUGGCUGGUGGAUCUGAGGGAAGAUCACAGCAACCUCCCUGAACAGAACCCAGUGACUAUGACAGUGGCAGACAUCCAACAAAGAGUCUCAGGUAUGAAAAACUGGACAGCACCUGGCCCUGACAUGAUCCACGCCUACUGGCUAAAGAAGCUCACUGCAAUCCAUGAACCAGAUCAAAAAAAAAAAUGCAGAUUUGAAAAGAACUGCAUUAUUUGA
rnacentral:lncRNA from 1 species